CCUCAGACCUGCAGUCACCAGACCUCCUGCUCACCUGUAUCCACUUAUCGCCCUUUGUUCUUCUGUUGUUUUUUAUUUCCGUGCUUGCUGUUCCCAGCCUGCUCUUCAGGACUCUUCUAACGCGGCUACCAGUGGUGAUGAAUCCACGCUAAUAAAAACGCUGCGACACAAACGUCGAUGGCACAUUCUCGCAGCGAGCACUGUGUUGCUCUGCGCCAGCACCCCUUGGUGCCCCUCUGCAGUUUGCCUCUUCCCAUGCUGGCAUUUUUAAGUGCUGGCACAGUCGCAGCGGUGACGAGUGAGGCAAUCUCCGAGCUAAACAACUCAAGACAGGCGGGUAGCCGCACUAACGAAAUGGCCCGGCCUCGUGUGGAACAUCCUCCGUCAUCCAAACCCUCUCAGGUGCUGCAGGGUUUGAAUCAAACCGGAAAUUGAGUUUACUGCUAUGGCUUGG
ensembl:lncRNA